rnacentral:tRNA from 3 species
UCCCCCCUGGUGUAAUGGCAACACAACAGGUUUUGGUCCUGUCGUUCCAGGUUCGAGUCCUGGGGGGGGAU